GACGAACCGUGCGAACGUUGUUCGGAAUCACUGGGCUUAAAGGGCGCGUAGGCGGGCUGCCAAGUCUGUGGUGAAAUCCUCCAGCUUAACUGGAGAACUGCCGUGGAUACUGGCGGCCUCGAGGGUGAUAGGGGUCGGUGGAACUGUGCGUGGAGCGGUGAAAUGCGUUGAUAUGCACAGGAGCUCCGGUGGCGAAGGCGACCGACUGGAUCACAUCUGACGCUGAGGCGCGAAAGCUAGGGGAGCGAACGGG
rnacentral:rRNA from 1 species